UGUCUAGAUUGUAAACAGCUGUCUAGAACUUGUGAUAGAGGUUGCAUUUGACUGUGUAUAACUAAUGGUAAAUGCAUCCUCUAUUACCACUUCUACGACAGACAUCCACGACAAUGAUAA
rnacentral:precursor_RNA from 9 species